CUGCUGGGUUAAGGCCUCCUCUCCCUUUUUGAGGAGAAGGUUUUAGAGCUUAUUCCACCACGCUGCUCCAAUGCGGGUUGGUAGAAUACACAUGUGACAUAAUUUCAAUGAAAUUAGACACAUGCAGGUUUCCUCACGAUGUUUUCCUUCACCGUCAAGCACGAGAUGAAUUUUAAUCAGAAAUUAAGCACAUGAAAAUUCAGUGGUGCUUACCCGGGUUUGAACCCACGAUCAUCGGUUAAGAUUCACGCGUUCUAACCACUAGGCCAUCUCGGCUUUAUAACAUAUAAUAUUUACUUAUUAUAAUAUUUACUUAACUUUUAUUAAUUAUUUAAUAUACAUAUGUUUUUCAGUACCAAGUAAGUUUGUCUGAAUCUAUAUAUGUGCAAUCUCACAUUACGCAAGAUUUACUGUAGAUAAAUAAAGAUGCGCUUAUAUUAUUUUAUGUUAAUUUGAAAUGUAUUUUUAUGUUAUGUAUUGUUUAUUUAAUAUUCCACACACGUGUUAAUUAUGACAGUCAUUCGACAUAGAACCAACUCAAAUGAAGCCUUGUGGCGUUUUGUCACUAAUCAAAGAUAUUAAGAUGUAACCAUAGACAAUUUAGAACUUUUUAACGAUGAUGACAUUUCUAACAUUAUAUAACAUUGUAAAGUCAGAAAUUCAACUUAAUAUACAUUAUAACCUAAAACAUUGUAAUGUAGUUACGUCAUUAUAGUAUGUCACGCAAAUAAUAAUCUAACUAACUAAAAUUGAUCGGAGGUUCCACACACAUUUUAUGUAUAUUGUAAUAUAUCGUUCAAAAAUGAAAUACAAAAUGUUAAAUUAUUUAUUAUUAAGAAAUAUUUAAAUAUUUAUAACUCUCUAUUUACAGACGAUUGUAAGUAUAUUUUUUGCACAUAUAUAUUAUACUAGCUUUCAUUCGGUUUGCUCACGCGAUAAUGGGAGGGCAGGCUUAAAAGAAGCCUAUGAGUUCAACCUUUCUCCAUAAAGAUUUAGUGGUUUAGCUUUAAAAACGUAACAUAGCGUCAGAGAUAUAAAUAUGAAAUAAUAAUAACUCUUAUAAUAAAUAAUCAUAUUAUUUUUUUCAGGGUCGAUCAGUAAGUUUUUUUAAAAUACUUUACACGUCAACGCAAUAAAAAUAUAUGUAAUAGGGGCUUUUAUUCAUUUAUCCUAGGGAAUCGAAAUUGGAUUUCAAUGUAUUUUAUUUUGGAUGUGAUUUGCGUUAAAUUCUUAGUGAGCGUCUAUGUCUCGAAAUGAGUAACUAUGCUAAAUUGCAAGACGGACUUAUAGAUUCGGAGAUCUCGUGAUGAGUUAGUCAGGCAGUGGUAUUUCGCUUAAAUAUAUAUAAUUGCAUAAAUAAUUGCACUUUAUUUAAAUGAUAUAAAGAAUAAAAUAAUAUGAUUAAAACUACUGCAGAUAAUAAAAAUGUUAGAAUGACCUAUUUUGAAUGACAAAAUUUAAUAUUUCAUUAUUUUUUCAGAUUGUAAGUAUAAUAUUUUUAAGUAAAUAAUUUAAUAAUUAAGUUUAAAAAUGAAAUAUGCCUACUUAUUUCAUUUAUUUAUUUUAUUUAACAGCCUGGCGUAAGUAUAUAAACGAAAUUAAAUAUUUUUAACAUAUAGCAGACACCAAUUAAGAUUAAAAAUAAACUAUUAUGACCUUGAGUUGAUAUAUUUGACGUCAUAAUAUGACGUCAUUGGUAAAUAUGGAUACUCCUAUUACCAUUAGUAUAUAGUAUAUAUAGAUUGUUAUAUACAAUCAUAUUAGUUAUAAUGUCUGGUACUAUAUACGACAUUGGCAUUGUAAGAAAUGUUAACCAUCGCUUACAUCACCAAUGCGCCACCAACCUUGGGAACUAAGAUGCUAUGUCCCUUGUGCCUGUAAUUACACUGGCUCACUCACCAUUCAAACCGGAACACAACAAUAUCAAAUACUGCUAUUUUGCGGUAGAAUAUCUGAUGAGUGGGUGGUACCUGCCCGGACGGGCUUGCACAAAGCUCUACCACCAGUAAACCUCAUCUGACGCUCAAAACCAUACGCUGACGUCAUCUAAAGCUCGAAAUUAAAACAACGUUCAAAAACGUUACGUCGAAGUAGCCCGUCGUAACUCAAAAGCGACUUUGAGUCAACGACAGUCUUGAGCGACUGGUAUACAAUAACGAUUCGUUAAAUAGUACCGUUUAUAAAAUAAUAAAUUGAUAAAUAAAAGAAUAAAUUGACUGCAAAGAGUAGUGGUCUGCUUAUGUAUGUUUUAAUGUAAAAUUUCAGUGUGAAUGCGUGACACGGGGUCCGAUAUCACUAUUCAAAUUGAGAGGGAAUAUUAAGUUUCCAAAAAUAAAGGUGACCCCUGAGCGCUACGUGACCCUACCAACGGAGCCGACCUCAACAUUGUGUCCACCCUGUAUCUGUAAACUUUGCCCUAGCGAUAAUGAAAUAGACAAAUGAUAAAAAAUAGUAAUAUUAUAAUAUACUUGGAACCAUGAAA